GACGAACGCUGGCGGCGUGCUUAACACAUGCAAGUCGAACGGUGAAGCGCCUUCCUUUUUGGUGGGUGUGGAUGGGUGGCGAACGGGUGAGUAACACGUGAGUAACCUGCCCCCUUCUUCUGGAUAACCGCAUGAAAGUGUGGCUAAUACGGGAUAUUCUGGGUCUGUCGCAUGAUGGGUCUGGGACAGAUAUUGUUUCGGUGGGGGAUGGGCUCGCGGCCUAUCAGCUUGUUGGUGGGGUGAUGGCCUACCAAGGCGGUGACGGGUAGCCGGCCUGAGAGGGUGGACGGCCACACUGGGAAGGAGACACGGCGCAGACUACGACGGGAGGCAGCAGGGGGGAAUAUUGCACAAUGGGAGGAAGGCUGAUGCAGCGACGCCGCGUGAGGGAUGGAGGCCUUCGGGUUGUGAACCUCUUUCGCCAGUGAAGCAGGCCUGCCUCGUUUGUGGGUGGGUUGACGGUAGCUGGAUAAGAAGCGCCGGCUAACUACGUG
rnacentral:rRNA from 1 species